UAUCCCUGUUUCACUUUCUGC
rnacentral:siRNA from 1 species